GGAGAAGUCGCGUAGCCCGGUCGAGCGCGCACGAUUGGAAAUCGUGUAUACCCCAUAAGGGUAUCGAGGGUUCGAAUCCCUCCUUCUCCGCCA
rnacentral:tRNA from 3 species